rnacentral:rRNA from 1 species
UACGUAGGGUGCAAGCGUUAAUCGGAAUUACUGGGCGUAAAGCGUGCGCAGGCGGUUUUAUAAGACAGAUGUGAAAUCCCCGGGCUCAACCUGGGAACUGCAUUUGUGACUGGAGAGCUGGAGUGCGGCAGAGGGGGAUGGAAUUCCGCGUGUAGCAGUGAAAUGCGUAGAUAUGCGGAGGAACACCGAUGGCGAAGGCAAUCCCCUGGGCCUGCACUGACGCUCAUGCACGAAAGCGUGGGGAGCAAACAGG